rnacentral:rRNA from 1 species
CCUACGGGGGGCAGCAGUGGGGGAUAUUGCACAAUGGGGGAAACCCUGAUGCAGUGACGCCGCGUGGGUGAAGAAGCGCCUCGGCGCGUAAAGCCCUGUCAGCAGGGAAGAAAAUGACGGUACCUGAAGAAGAAGCCCCGGCUAACUACGUGCCAGCAGCCGCGGUAAUACGUAGGGGGCAAGCGUUAUCCGGAUUUACUGGGUGUAAAGGGGGCGCAGACGGCGAUGCAAGCCAGGAGUGAAAGCCCGGGGCCCAACCCCGGGACGGCUCUUGGAACUGCGUGGCUAGAGUGCAGGAGGGACAGGCGGAAUUCCUGGUGUAGCGGUGAAAUGCGUAGAUAUCAGGAGGAACACCGGUGGCGAAGGCGGCCUGCUGGACUGCAACUGACGUUGAGGCCCGAAAGCGUGGGGAGCAAACAGGAUUAGAUACCCCAGUAGUC